rnacentral:rRNA from 1 species
UUCUAUCAGAAAUCAUUGAUAGUAAAAUCUGCUCACUGAUAAAUUAAAGAGCCGCAAUCGUGCUAAGGUAGCAUAAUCACUCGUCUUUUAAUUGAGGACUAGAACAAAAGAUUUAACAUUUCAAUUAAUUUUAAUAUUUUACUUUAUAAAACUUUUCUCAAAUGUAAAAAGACAUUUAUCCAAAAGAAAGACGAUAAGACCCUAUUGAACUUAACUUCAGUUUUACUGGGGCAGUAAAUUAAUUAAUAUUUUAAUAUUAUUACUACAAAAAGUAUCUAAUACCAUUAAAUAAUUCAGUUACCAUAGGGAUAACAGCAUAAUUAUUUUUCAAAGUACUUAUAUAAAAAAUAGAUUGUGACCUCGAUGUUGAAUUAAUGACCUAAUUAGAGCAAGAUUUAAUAAAGGAAGUCUGUUCGACUUUUAAAAAAUU